rnacentral:rRNA from 1 species
UACGAAGGGGGCUAGCGUUGUUCGGAAUUACUGGGCGUAAAGGGCGAGUAGGUGGCCAUCUAAGUCAGACGUGAAAUCCCCCGGCUUAACCUGGGAACUGCGUCUGAUACUGGACGGCUUGAGUAUGGGAGAGGGAUGUAGAAUUCCAGGUGUAGCGGUGAAAUGCGUAGAUAUCUGGAGGAAUACCGGUGGCGAAGGCGGCAUCCUGGACCAUUACUGACACUGAUCCGCGAAAGCUAGGGGAGCAAACGGG